rnacentral:lncRNA from 1 species
AGGAUACACUGGUUGUCAUGACGCUUCCAGAGGCAGCGGUAGCACUCAUUCGCCACGGCGAAGAUGUGAGGUGCAAUCUCUCCCAUGUGGUGCUUGCUGUAUCGCUCCAUGGCAGCACAGUCAUACAGGCCCGGGAUGGUCUUGUAAGGGUUCACAGAGGCCACUAUGGAACCAAUGUAUGUAUAGAUUUUAUCUUGCUGAUAUCGUUGGAAUAAGUUAUGCAUAAUAGAGCCUUCAUGGAGAUCUACUAGCGUUGCCAUGUCUUCCACGCUCUCCACACUUGUCUGAUGCAUAGGUGUUACUUUUUGGUGAGUGAUGGUGCUCUGUUUAUAGGUGAAUACCUGGCCAUAGUCUGUCCUGAACACGAUGACUCCUUCCGCACAGGAAUGAACAGUACUUGGAUAAUGCUGAUUAUUUUCUCGCAACCAGACUCGAGACCCCUCCGCCAAGAAGUUGUCCAUGGUGCCCCUCGGGUCGCCCGCAGAGCGCAGCGCCGGGACCCCGCCGCGCACCAUGUGCCGGGCCCGGCCCGGCGCCACCGAGCCGCCCUCCGCUGCCUCAGCCGCCGCGCCGCUCCAUCGCGCCCGAGCCCGGCGGCAGCCCGCAGCCUUUGUCCGCCCGCCCCUUCGCGCUUGGAGGAGGAGGAGGAGGAGGAAGAAGCAGCAACCCCACAACGCGCUCCAACCCCGCGCCCGGGGCCGCCUCGUCCCGAACCGACGGGGCAGGAACAGGGGCAGAGGCGGGGCCGGGGCCGAGCCCCGCCCGCAGCGCGGGCAGCGACCCCCGGAGCGCAGCCCCAGGCCGGCGCGGGGCGAGGGAUGGGUGCGUUCGAUCGCUCGGUUUGAAACGCAAAGCAGCGGCGUCAGGCAGGAGUUCCUGACGAAGUUAGAGCUCCUCGAAAGAAGACGUACCUGCAGGCUUUCGUUGUGUGCAGCAGGAUCUUAUUUAUAAGUUCGUUGCGAUUUUGUGCGCGGGCUCUGAGGCGGGUGUGCUCUGUGCUGAACGCAUCUCGCAGCAGCCCUGGUGUGCCCCGACGGAGAAGAGCGGCUCAAACGGCCUUCGGGCCACCACCUGGGAGCACAUGGGGCUCCGCUUGGGGACACCUUUUUCACGUCUCCGCAAGGCAGGUGGGAAAUAUUCAGUUGUGAAAAACUUAUUUUUAUUUACAGGAAGAACCGCGCGGAAAAGUUCCAGCCACGAAGAAAGUGAAGGCAGUAUUACUGUCUUUUGUUCUCAGGCAGGUCCCAGCUCUGCUCUGGGAGCUCCAGCACGGGAGUGCUAAUGCAGAUGCCCUGGAUACCAGAAGUAAGCGUGAUUGUGCAGCUCAGCUUGUCAAGGUGUCACAGCUGCAGCUACAAGGGCUGCUACAAAAGCGAGUUUAAGGGAAAAACAUUCUCUUUGUUUCUGUCCCGGCCAUGAGGCAGCCCAAGGGAUGCCCUGAAGCCUCCCGGGGUCUCUCCACCCAAAUGUGCAGUGCACACCUCCUUGCAUCGCUCCACGGCUCAAGUUUUGCAGAGGAUUCCACUUGAAUUGGCCAGCUCGCUGUGAAGUAAGCCUAAAUUACACCAUUAAUGCCGUGAAAAUCCCUACAUGGAAGCUCUGCAGCUCUCAUCCAAACUACCGUGCUUCCAAAGUCGCUCCAAGGGAAUAGGGAAUUCCCACAACCACUGUGCUAGAAAGCUUCCCCACUCAGACAAAUCCUAAUGUGGGGAGGGCUGAGUCAGACCUGGGGUAUUUAUGAAGUUACUUUGACUUCUCAUCGAGUACUUUGUUUGACACCGUGCUCUUGGAAUGCACUGCAACAUCUAGCUACUGUGUACGGAGGUCUACAAAGCACAGCGCCACAGAAAUUCAAGAGGAUUUUGAAUCUACCAUCCAAUCAGAGCAGCCUGAGCUUUUUUUAAAAAAGAAAUAUCGCAGGACAUGACAAGAAACCACUACCAACAGAAUAGGACCAGAUUUUUGCUGCCUAAAAAUAUAUCGCAGAAAGAAUGGGUAUUCUCUUGCGGCGUGAAUGCAUUACAAAAGGCUGCAAAAUGCUUAAGAUUUUUCUUAGAGCAACUGCAACCAGCUGUCAGCAGGAGGGGAGUCAGAAGAGGGGUUUGGGGAGCAGAGGGGAAGGGGAAGAGCAGUUCAUGCUGUUGCUCCACCGAGCCACUUCCUCUCCCAUUCUUUGAACCAGCCCCGCUCUGGGUUUGUAAGCUCCAGCAUCUGUAUUUCAUAGGAAGGGGGUUUUGAAGCACUUUUCCUAGCUCUGAAAAUGACCCCAAACUGGUUUCCUACUCAUUUUAUGCAAUUGUUUUGGAAUUUGGAAAACCCCACAGAUAUGCAGCACACAGCUCCAUACAUCUAUGAACAUCUGGGGACUUGGCCAUGCUGCACAGCUCCAAUUUUCGUUUAAUCGGUGGAAAUUCCUUCACUGAUUGUGUGCCUAAGGUAAAUUACUUCCUUUUGAAGCUGCUCACAUGCACGCAGGCUCAGUUUUCAGUCAGGAAGGGACGGAGGCUCAGCUCUACCUCCUCGCUGGCCCCAAAGGUCUCCGCUUGGUGUGGUGCUUGGUGGUGGGGUGGCUGCUCAGCAGGCCCUGCCCCCAGCAGCCUCCUGGCUCCGUGCACUACAACUUGGGCAUGUGCUGGGCCACUUCACGCUCAGCCAGCCCACCAGCCUGUUUUAGUACUCCGUGAGAUUUGCUGCCCUGCUUGGAUCGGCGUGCAUCUUCACCCAGCUUUUGCGACCAGUCUUCCCUCUAACAAUAGUAGCUUAAGUCCCCACGUUUGACCAAAACGUCCCACAGAAGACAGGCAUUUCUUCUCCCCAUAGCUCUCGUGCCAUCUUAGCAGCUAUUUUUUUUUGUAAGACUGGAUGUUUAGAACAGAUUUCAACCACUCAUCCCUAUCAACUAGUAGAAAUCUCCCAUAGCAGACAGCUCUGUUCUGCCCUGGAGGCAAAAACAGAGUAUUGACUGACUGCAGCUCAGUUACCUGUAAAUCAGGGGGUUCACCUGAGCCAUGAUUCUUCACUGGGAAUUUCCACAGACCAAAUGUGUAGAUUUUUUUAAAAAAAGGUUUAUUACACCUGCAUUUCUUACACUGUUCAUAGAUACAAUUGCAUCCCAACAAACGAUUAACUCAUUCACUACCUCGAGCACAUUCGGUUGAAAUUUAGACAUGCAUUUCCCAAAGGAACGUUCUCCCCUGUUCUCAUCUAUGCUAGCUGUCACAGCUCCUCAGGGGCAGCAGCACCCUGAGGCUGAGAGUGUGGAGUGUCCCCAGGUGAGGCAGGCAAGACAGGCGAGCAGGGCCUGGCCAGUGGCUUGCCAGAGGCACUGGGACAGCCAGUAACUCUCUGUAUGUGAAACCAGAUAGGUUGUUCUGUUGCAAGCGUGGUGUACUACCAUAGCUUUCCGCCCUUUAUGAUGGUUUCUGUGCAUUUGGCAAAUCCUGCCUCUGGUUCAAUAAGAAAAUCUCAUUCAGCUGCCCAAACCUUAGCACAAAAUCCAUGUGGGCCAUCUUUAUAAAAAGCUGAUGUAUUUUCUUUGCAUGUAUGUGAUAGUUUGUUCUUGCCUGGCUUACCUUAGUUUUGCGGUUGCUAUUUUUUCCACAGUGGUAUAAUUGAACAGAGUGAAUUUUAGCUUUUGCAUGCCUGGCAGGUUUAUUGCACCAAAGCUUUCCCUCUGCAUUGCACUUUGGAGAAGCUUGCCUUUCCCUAGGGGCUAUAUUGGCACUUGGUUGUCUACCUUACCCCACAGCACUGCCCCCCUUCUGUGGGACAUGCAGAUUGUUUUCGGUUGAAUAAUUAAAUGGUGAUAGAGUCUGUUAAUUCAAUCUUGUUAAUUAAAAGGAGCCUGAAUUAAAGUUUUCUUCUCACCAGAGAGAGGCAGUGCAUUUCUUUGCUCCCAGUUCAAGGUCUUAUUUUAUUCAGUCCUAUCUCCAAAAUGCUUUCUCAUAUUUUUCCCUUUGGAGUCUUUGUUUACGGCAUACUCAGAGUGGUUUUGCAUAUGGUCUGUAUUGCUGAUACAAAUCCUUUAUUCUUUAAACUUAAUCCAAAUAAAGGAGGCCUUUUAACUACUAUUUACUAUUUCACAAGGGCUGCUAUUGCCCUUGUGAGCUUCUGUCAGAUUUCAGCUAACUGACUUCUGGUAUACAAGAUGUUUGGCAUUGACAUUAUCCAAAAAAAUCUCAAAGUUCAAAGGCAAGGCACUAUUAGAGAAGCCAAUACUUCUGUAGUGGGUGACAGAGCACAUGCAAGUUGCUAGCGCAGAGCAUGAUGUGCUACCCCACAGCUCUUGAAGGAUGCAGUGAAGUAAAAGACUGUUCCAACAAGACUGUCAUGAUCUGUGCAAAGCAAGAAACCCACAUCCCUUACAUUCUUGUUCAUCAGAACUCCUUCACCGGCUUGUGCUCAGGUUUCAAAGCCAAUCCCAGGUCCUGGUCUUGGUUUUCAAAAUAACUAACAGCUUAUCUUCCAAAAAGAUAUGAAAAAAACUGGGCUGGACAGCUUUCCUCUUUUUCUGAAUCCUGUUUGUAGUAGGUCACCUCUUCCCCUGCGUGCUGUUCCAGGAUCUAAAGGUCUGACUGACUGCUGUGAGCUCCAUUACACCCAUUUUUAAGAAGGGUAUAAAGGAUGGCCCCAGGAACUACCAACCUGUCAGUCUCACCUCUGUGUCAGGGAAGAUCAUGGAACAGAUCCUCCUGGAAGCUGUGCUGAGGCACAUGGAAGGCAGGGAGGUGAUACAGGAGAACUAGCAUGGCUUCACCAUGGGCAAAUCCUGCUUGAUCAACAUUAGUGGCCUUCUGUGAUGGUGUCACUGCAUCAAUGGACAAGGGAAGAGACAUGGAUGCAAUCUAUCUGCAUUUCAGUAAGGCUUUUGAUAUGGUAUCCCACACCAUCCUUCUCUCCAAAUUAGGAAGAUAUGGAUUUGAUGGAUGGACUGUUUGAUGGACAAAGAACUGGCUGCAGGAUUGAGUCCAGAGAGUGGUGGUCAAUGAUGCAGUGUCUGGAUGAAGAUGAGUGAUGAGUGAUGUCCCCCAGCGGUCAGUGCUUGUACUGAUGCUCUUUAAUAUCUUAAUCAGUGACACUGACAGUGGGGUUGAGUGCACCCUCAGCAAGUUUGCAGAUGACACCAAGCUGUGGGGUGUGGUCAACAUGCCUGAGGUAUGGGAUGCCAUUCAGAUGGACUUAGACGGGCUUGAGCAGUGGGCCCAGGUGAAUCUCAUGACGUUCAACAAAUUGAAGCGGACCUGGGUUGAGGUAACAUCCACUACCAAUACAAGCUGGGGGAUGAAAGGAUUGAGCACAGACCUGCUGAAAAGGACCUGGGGGUACUAGUGGAUGGGAAGCUGGACAUGUGCCAGAAAUGUGCCAUUGCGGCCCAGAAAGCCAACCGUAUCCUGGGCUGCAUCAAAAGAAGCAUGGCCAGCAGGGUGAGGGAGGUGAUCCUGCCCCUCUGCUCUGUGCUGCUGAGGCCUCACCUGGAGUACUGUGUCCAGAUGUGGAGUCCUCAGUACAGGAGAGAUGUGGAUCUGUUGGAGUGUAUCCAGAGGAGGGCCACAAAAAUGAUUCAAGGGAUGGAAUACCACUCCUAUGAGGACAGAUUGAAAGAGCUUGGGCUGUUCAGCCUGGGGAAGAGAAGGUGACCUAAUAGUGGCCUUUCAGUAUCUAAAGGGGAGCUACAGGAAAGAAGGGGACAGACUCAUUAUCGGAGUCUGUGCUGAGAGAAAGUGGGAAAAUUAUUUCAAACUUAAAAAGUAGAGAUUUAUGUUAGAUAUAAGGAGAGCGUAUUUUACAGUGAGGAUGAUGAGGCACUGGAACAGGUUGUCCUGAAAUGUGGUGAAUGCCCCAUCCCUGAAGACCCUCAAGGCCUGAUCUAUCUGUGGAUGUCCCUGUUCAUUGCAGAGGGGUUGGAUUAGAUGACCUUUAAAGGUCCCUUCCAAUUCUAAGAAUUCUAUGAUUCUAUGCUUGUACAAAACUUAAGUGUUAGGUCCUGUUAUGCGGAGCUAUAACUUGCCAGGACAAACCUAGCCCUUAAGUGUGACAAGCAAUGGAUCAAAUUAAUUAUUCAUGCCUGUAUGAGAACUUCAGUUAUUAAUCUCUAGGAGUAAUAAAUAAAUAAGAAGUGAAAAGCUGGCAGAUUUUUGUAAGAGCUUCGUUUAUAGCUACUGUGACAGUGAGUCAUUUAAACAUUUCCUUUUUAUGUAAACAAGCUUCCAACAGGAAUGAGCUAAAAAAACUGGAAGAAAUUUUCCUGGCUUCAGCCUCCCUCCUUUUUCAGGAUCUUCCAUCAGCUUCUUCCAUCACUUUGACCUUUCUACACCCUAAUUCCCCUGGCUGUAGUUUCAGCACAAGUAUUUGGGGGGAAGUCCUGCCAUCAGAAAAAAUAACAACUCUAGAAAUGUCCCGCAGCAAUCACGGACACCAUGGAUGCAAUACCUUCUGUGCUUCCGAGCUGAACACAUAGCCAAAAUCACAAGCUCAUUCCUUGUUUUCCUGGAGCUGGAUUUCCAUGUAAGAAUGCAUUUAACCCUGUCAGUUUAGAGCCUGGCAAAAGGCAUUAAGUGCAUCUUGUCCUGCCAGUAAUGUUAUCUCUCUUCUGUUGGCUUGUUUGUUUAGUGUUGUCACUCCACAACUGUGAUGCUUGGGUUGUUUUACACAGUUUUUGACCAUCUCUAUUUGAGAGAUCCCGAGUUUUCUUUUUUACAUAGUGAAGUGGUUUAUGUUGUAAGGUUUUAAAAUACAAUUUCACAGAAUCUAAGCUUUUUUUUUUUUUCUCCAAUGACAGAGCCACUUCUUGAUUUAACAGUUGGUAACAGACAUAACAAGGUGGACAGUUUUCUAGUUCCCUGUAUUCCUGAAUUCUACAAUUCUCCUAGACACUGCUUCCCUCGGGGCACUUCUGGCAGCAUUACUAUUCGUGGAGGUUGGCUAUUCCCUGAAUUCAGCUUCUGUCCCUCUUUGCUGUUCUAGCCUCAUAGACCACUCAUCGCAUUUAAGGUCACUGCUGUAUUUCUUCCUCACUAACAUCUCUCAGUUCAGCUCUUCUUCUCUUUACAGGCUUUCUUGCAACCCAUUCCUUUUGGUUCUGCCUAUCAGCCUGGUAUACAGUUUUUACACAAGAUAAUACAUGUGUAUUCUAUGUUUGCAUUGGUUUAUCCCAUAAAGGCAUCUACUGAAAGAAAAAGAGAGGAGUAAAAGACAAAAGCUGUUGGAAAGGUUAAUUUCAGGUAGGAGAUAAAGACGCAGAGAAAACAUAAGGAAAAUGGUAAAAAAAAAGUAAAAAUCCAAGUUUUUCUUAUCUCCUUAUGAAUCAGCUUACAAGUAUAUCUCCCUUGCCUUCUCCCAAGAAACCUGUUUAAAACCAUGUGUAUAAGGCAACUUGUGAUUCAAAAGCCUCAGUCAUGGCUUAUACAGCUGUUCAUUUACCAAGUAGUUAGACCUGCAUGAAAUAUUGCUGCCCCUCUCUGAAGGUUACCUCCAUCGGAGCAGAGCUCAGAGAUGGGAAAUAUAAGGGCACCUUUUGCUGUUUCAGGGCUGAGCAAGCUAGGUUGCUUCAAAACACUUCCUCUAGCAAUUUAAUGUAGGUCAUCCACAUUUCUCCUGAGACAAACAAGGAACACCCACACUUUUCUUGUUACUGGCAGUGCAGUGGAAGGAAAAAUAUUUGGUACAAAGGCAGCAAACUGCAGCAAAUGCCAAUCGUAAUGUACACUACUGCAGUUGUUCAAUCAGCAAAUAUAAAUCUGAGGUUUCCUUUGCCCUCGUGGUGUUGGGUUGGUUUAAACAAUGUCCAUGCUUUACCUCCACUUCCUAUUCUCCCUCUGCCAUAGUAACUGCAAAGAGUAAGCCUACCUUAGCCCUGUAGGUUGGCACCAGGACCCUCCCGCUUUUCCUGCUUUGGUUCACGGUGGGGAGCAGUCCCAAAACAUGCAUGCCAGCUUCCCUCUGAAAUUAAGCUAAAAGAUAUGCUCCAGAAACACUCUUCUAGCAACAAAAAGGUAUUCAGAACACAGGGCCAGAUUAGAGUCAGUCUGAAAUGCAGCCUCCUGGAAUGCACUUAGUGUAGACAAUGGAUCCUCAGCAUGAUAUUUCACCCUGCGGAUACGCUCCUAUUCCUCUGCACUAUUUGCUUGUACAGCUUGGCCAUUGUGCCACCGUGGGUCAGUGCAGCAAGUGGGACAGGGAAACUGAUUCAAGCGUUUUAUUUUGGCUUGAGUUCUAGUUCUGAUUUCUUGGAAGAGCCUUGACAGAAAAAAAGUUUUAAUUAUGAACUGCUCCCUGAGCAGGUUCAGAAAUAUACCUUGCAAACAAAUCAUGCAACUGAAAGAGAUAUAAAGACAAGGGUGCUCUGCAUUGCUCUUCACAUUUAUGUUCCAUACCUGAUCACAGCUUCAGAGAGCCCCAAGGAGCAGCCUUCAGUUUCCCUUGUGCUUUAGGGAACGUUUAUGCCUUUCAAAUAUUUAGACACGAACAGCCUGCAGGAUAAUUAAUACUGUCCAUCAACAUUCUUCUGUUAAAAGUUUCUUUCCGUGCAUCUACCAUGUUAAGUAGAAUAUUCUCCCUUGACCUCAGAUUCCUUCCUGCAUUUGAAAUCAAGAAGUCUUAUCAUAGCACAAGAGAAAACAAUGUUCAUUUUAAAGCAGACAUGAUUUCUCACAAACCUUGACAAAGCUAAAAUCACAGCAAUUCAGACUUACCAGUAUGAUAAAAAUGCUGCAGAUCUACACGUUUUAGAAGAGCAUGUUCUUAAAAAGUAUGUUAAGAACUGAAUUUAAUCAUAAAAUAAAAUGUCAUUGUAUCCUUUUCUAGCCACAUUUAUAACUUAAAUUUUGCUUGAAAUCCUCUCAAAACCUCUGCCAUUACAUUAAUGCAAUACAUUCAUUUUUGGUAGCUUAUUUUCUUUGCCCAAAUACUUUGUUUUGCUCUAGCAUAUUAUCCAUGGAUAAUUUUAGGAAGUGUAAUGUUUCUGUGGAAUUGUAACUUUAUAGGUUUGUUUAUUUACUGGAUGCAUUCAAUCAAAUAAACCUGCAAUUCCUUUAGUACAAACAAAAGCAAAAUUCCUGGCUUACAUCAGCUUGCUGCCCCAGAAUAGAAUCAAAGGCUGUUGAGGUAGUUUAUGUCCCUGCUUAGAAAUAGGAAAACCUUUGUUUUUUGUACAGAGAUACUACACACUUGAGCUUGAGACAUUAGAGGAAGCUGGGAAGCAAGCACAGCGCUACCUACCUUCUUGGCAUGCAGUCUCUCUGAAACAGUAUUUGAUGUUUGUGUUUACUUGCAACAUAUGACAAUUAAUAGACUGAAAAGACAUUGUAGUGAUGUUUAGUUUCAGGCUCGUUAAAAGCACAUACGACAGCAUAUCUUCUAUUUC